GGUUAAGUUAGAAAGGGCGCACGGUGGAUGCCUUGACACUAGGAGUCGAUGAAGGACGGGACUAACGCCGAUAUGCUUCGGGGAGCUGUAAGUAAGCUUUGAUCCGAAGAUUUCCGAAUGGGGAAACCCACCAUACGUAAUGGUAUGGUAUCCUUAUCUGAAUACAUAGGGUAAGGAAGACAGACCCAGGGAACUGAAACAUCUAAGUACCUGGAGGAAGAGAAAGCAAAUGCGAUUUCCUGAGUAGCGGCGAGCGAAACGGAACAUAGCCCAAACCAAGAGGCUUGCCUCUUGGGGUUGUAGGACAUUCUAUACGGAGUUACAAAGGAACGAGGUAGACGAAGCGACCUGGAAAGGUCCGUCGUAGAGGGUAACAACCCCGUAGUCGAAACUUCGUUCUCUCUUGAAUGUAUCCUGAGUACGGCGGAACACGUGAAAUUCCGUCGGAAUCUGGGAGGACCAUCUCCCAAGGCUAAAUACUCCCUAGUGAUCGAUAGUGAACCAGUACCGUGAGGGAAAGGUGAAAAGCACCCCGGAAGGGGAGUGAAAGAGAUCCUGAAACCGUGUGCCUACAAAUAGUCAGAGCCCGUUAACGGGUGAUGGCGUGCCUUUUGUAGAAUGAACCGGCGAGUUACGAUCCCGUGCGAGGUUAAGCUGAAGAGGCGGAGCCGCAGCGAAAGCGAGUCUGAAUAGGGCGUUUAGUACGUGGUCGUAGACCCGAAACCAGGUGAUCUACCCAUGUCCAGGGUGAAGUUCAGGUAACACUGAAUGGAGGCCCGAACCCACGCACGUUGAAAAGUGCGGGGAUGAGGUGUGGGUAGCGGAGAAAUUCCAAUCGAACCUGGAGAUAGCUGGUUCUCCCCGAAAUAGCUUUAGGGCUAGCCUUAAGUGUAAGAGUCUUGGAGGUAGAGCACUGAUUGGACUAGGGGUCCUCAUCGGAUUACCGAAUUCAGUCAAACUCCGAAUGCCAAUGACUUAUCCUUAGGAGUCAGACUGCGAGUGAUAAGAUCCGUAGUCAAAAGGGAAACAGCCCAGACCGCCAGCUAAGGUCCCAAAGUGUGUAUUAAGUGGAAAAGGAUGUGGAGUUGCUUAGACAACUAGGAUGUUGGCUUAGAAGCAGCCACCAUUUAAAGAGUGCGUAAUAGCUCACUAGUCGAGUGACUCUGCGCCGAAAAUGUACCGGGGCUAAAUACACCACCGAAGCUGCGGAUUGAUACCAAUGGUAUCAGUGGUAGGGGAGCGUUCUAAGGACAGUGAAGUCAGACCGGAAGGACUGGUGGAGUGCUUAGAAGUGAGAAUGCCGGUAUGAGUAGCGAAAGACGGGUGAGAAUCCCGUCCACCGAAUGCCUAAGGUUUCCUGAGGAAGGCUCGUCCGCUCAGGGUUAGUCAGGACCUAAGCCGAGGCCGACAGGCGUAGGCGAUGGACAACAGGUUGAUAUUCCUGUACCACCUCUUUAUCGUUUGAGCAAUGGAGGGACGCAGAAGGAUAGAAGAAGCGUGCGAUUGGUUGUGCACGUCCAAGCAGUUAGGCUGAUAAGUAGGCAAAUCCGCUUAUCGUAAAGGCUGAGCUGUGAUGGGGAAGCUCCUUAUGGAGCGAAGUCUUUGAUUCCCCGCUGCCAAGAAAAGCUUCUAGCGAGAUAAAAGGUGCCUGUACCGCAAACCGACACAGGUAGGCGAGGAGAGAAUCCUAAGGUGUGCGAGAGAACUCUGGUUAAGGAACUCGGCAAAAUGACCCCGUAACUUCGGGAGAAGGGGUGCUUUCUUAACGGAAAGCCGCAGUGAAUAGGCCCAAGCGACUGUUUAGCAAAAACACAGCUCUCUGCGAAGCCGUAAGGCGAAGUAUAGGGGGUGACACCUGCCCGGUGCUGGAAGGUUAAGGAGAGGGGUUAGCGUAAGCGAAGCUCUGAACUGAAGCCCCAGUAAACGGCGGCCGUAACUAUAACGGUCCUAAGGUAGCGAAAUUCCUUGUCGGGUAAGUUCCGACCCGCACGAAAGGUGUAACGAUUUGGGCACUGUCUCAACCAGAGACUCGGUGAAAUUAUAGUACCUGUGAAGAUGCAGGUUACCCGCGACAGGACGGAAAGACCCCGUGGAGCUUUACUGUAGCCUGAUAUUGAAUUUUGGUACAGUUUGUACAGGAUAGGCGGGAGCCAUUGAAACCGGAGCGCUAGCUUCGGUGGAGGCGCUGGUGGGAUACCGCCCUGACUGUAUUGAAAUUCUAACCUACGGGUCUUAUCGACCCGGGAGACAGUGUCAGGUGGACAGUUUGACUGGGGCGGUCGCCUCCUAAAGUGUAACGGAGGCGCCCAAAGGUUCCCUCAGAAUGGUUGGAAAUCAUUCGUAGAGUGCAAAGGCAUAAGGGAGCUUGACUGCGAGACCUACAAGUCGAGCAGGGACGAAAGUCGGGCUUAGUGAUCCGGUGGUUCCGCAUGGAAGGGCCAUCGCUCAACGGAUAAAAGCUACCCCGGGGAUAACAGGCUUAUCUCCCCCAAGAGUCCACAUCGACGGGGAGGUUUGGCACCUCGAUGUCGGCUCAUCGCAUCCUGGGGCUGUAGUCGGUCCCAAGGGUUGGGCUGUUCGCCCAUUAAAGCGGUACGCGAGCUGGGUUCAGAACGUCGUGAGACAGUUCGGUCCCUAUCCGUCGUGGGCGUAGGAAAUUUGAGAGGAGCUGUCCUUAGUACGAGAGGACCGGGAUGGACGCACCGCUGGUGUACCAGUUGUUCUGCCAAGGGCAUAGCUGGGUAGCUAUGUGCGGAAGGGAUAAGUGCUGAAAGCAUCUAAGCAUGAAGCCCCCCUCAAGAUGAGAUUUCCCAUAGCGUAAGCUAGUAAGAUCCCUGAAAGAUGAUCAGGUUGAUAGGUUCGAGGUGGAAGCAUGGUGACAUGUGGAGCUGACGAAUACUAAUAGAUCGAGGACUUAACCAU
rnacentral:rRNA from 1 species